UACGCAGGGGGCUAGCGUUGUUCGGAUUUACUGGGCGUAAAGCGCGUGUAGGCGGGUCGUUAAGUUGGGGGUGAAAGCCCGAGGCUCAACCGCGGAACUGCCCUCAAAACUGGCGGCCUGGACUCAAGCAGAGGCAAGUGGAAUUGCGAGUGUAGAGGUGAAAUUCGUAGAUAUUCGCAGGAACACCAGUGGCGAAGGCGACUUGCUGGGCUUGUAGUGACGCUGAGACGCGAAAGCGUGGGGAGCAAACAGG
rnacentral:rRNA from 1 species